rnacentral:rRNA from 1 species
UACGAAGGGGGCUAGCGUUGUUCGGAAUUACUGGGCGUAAAGGGCGCGUAGGCGGCCUGACAAGUCAGAGGUGAAAGUCCUGGGCUCAACCUGGGGACUGCCUUUGAAACUGUCGGGCUUGAGACCGGGAGAGGUGAGUGGAAUUCCCAGUGUAGAGGUGAAAUUCGUAGAUAUUGGGAAGAACACCAGUGGCGAAGGCGGCUCACUGGACCGGUUCUGACGCUGCGGCGCGAAAGCGUGGGGAGCAAACAGG